rnacentral:rRNA from 1 species
ACAAGGUAGCCGUAGGGGAACCUGUGGCUGGAUCAC